rnacentral:rRNA from 1 species
CUUGCUAAGGCUGAUGGCGACCGGCGCACGGGUGAGUAACACGUAUCCAACCUGCCGUCUACUCUUGGCCAGCCUUCUGAAAGGAAGAUUAAUCCAGGAUGGCAUCAUGAGUUCACAUGUCCGCAUGAUUAAAGGUAUUUUCCGGUAGACGAUGGGGAUGCGUUCCAUUAGAUAGUAGGCGGGGUAACGGCCCACCUAGUCAACGAUGGAUAGGGGUUCUGAGAGGAAGGUCCCCCACAUUGGAACUGAGACACGGUCCAAACUCCUACGGGAGGCAGCAGUGAGGAAUAUUGGUCAAUGGGCGAUGGCCUGAACCAGCCAAGUAGCGUGAAGGAUGACUGCCCUAUGGGUUGUAAACUUCUUUUAUAAAGGAAUAAAGUCGGGUAUGCAUACCCGUUUGCAUGUACUUUAUGAAUAAGGAUCGGCUAACUCCGUGCCAGCAGCCGCGGUAAUACGGAGGAUCCGAGCGUUAUCCGGAUUUAUUGGGUUUAAAGGGAGCGUAGAUGGAUGUUUAAGUCAGUUGUGAAAGUUUGCGGCUCAACCGUAAAAUUGCAGUUGAUACUGGAUGUCUUGAGUGCAGUUGAGGCAGGCGGAAUUCGUGGUGUAGCGGUGAAAUGCUUAGAUAUCACGAAGAACUCCGAUUGCGAAGGCAGCCUGCUAAGCUGCAACUGACAUUGAGGCUC